GUAAAUUGUUAGUGUAGAGCUCACCUAAGAGGUUUACCUUGACAGGGCAACUGAGCUUGCACUUUCAUGGCCAUUGGAGUGCUACUAAAGCCUGUUGUUUACAUGUGCAUAGGGAUUUGAUAUAGUGUGCAGUCUACUAUUUAUUUUAUUUUAUUUGCUUCUGCCAUUUUGUCUUUAAAGACUUGGAUCCAGAAGCACAGGAAUCCAUCUUGAUGGGUAAUAAUUGAGGAAGGCAUUCCAAUCACUCAAAUUUAUCACAGGGUGGAAGCUCCUCUUUGUCAGAACAAUAAAUAUGUUGUUGAGGAAUUCCCCUGACUGCAGCCUUCUCAAUGGCUGCCUUGAGUAUGAUGGAAUGAACCGUAUUGUCUAUUAAAGACCUCUGUGUUCUGCUGGGCACAAACAGUAUGGGAAAGCGUGAUUAGAUUGAACAUUGACAUAUGAUAUAACCCACAUACUGUUUCCAGAACCUACACAUCACAUCUGAUGAGAACCCUUCUCAGUUGUGGGGAAAAAAAACGAUGGCUGCCUGUCAAUGGUACAAGGAAAAGAAGGAUUUACAAUAACUAAGCUUACCUGUGUUGAAAUAUGGAAUGUCCAACAUGCUUCACGACCUUAGUGUGAUCCCUGCUGGGGUUAGAAUGUAGACUUUGGAAAUAAGUGGAGUCCUGGAAGAAUGAGGGGUUCUUUUGGUGUUCUCUUGGGCCAGAAGGCCAGAAACAGAUGGUGGCAUGAUCCCAAUGUUCAGCCUGCUGAAAACCAUGCUGGCUGUUAUUGAAAACCCUUUUCCUAGAUACCUGGACCUAUUAAGGGAGGCUUACAUAUUUCUGCUUAAUUUAACGCCUUAACUGCAAGAUUGGUUCACUCAUCUGGACCCCAAAGAUGCAUAUUUUACCAUCCCUAUUCCUCCUCAUUGCUGGACACUAGAAAAAUCUAUUAUUAAAUUUCCAAAAAUGUUUUUAUUAAAAAC